GCUGGGCACGGUGGCAUGCACCUGUAGUCCCAGAUGCUUGGAAAGCAGAGGCAGGCACAUCGCUUUGAGUCCAGGAGUUCUGGGCUGUAGUGCGCUAUGCCGAUCUGGUGUCCACACUAAGUUAGGCGUCAAUGUGGGGAUUUCCCAGGAGCAAGGGACAAACAGGUUGCCUAAGAAAUGAACUGGCCCAGGUCAGAAACGGAGCACAUCAAAAUUCCUGCCCUGAUGAGUCAUGGGAUUGUACCCGUAAUAGUCACUGCACUCUACCCUGGAGUGCAGUUACUGGGCAACAUAGCAAGAUCCCUGUCUCUU
rfam:Callithrix jacchus chromosome 14, whole genome shotgun sequence